rnacentral:lncRNA from 1 species
ACACACAAAAGAGAUGAUUAAGAAACUAGAAUCUGCUGGGUUGGGGUAUCAUGUGUCGGCUGGUGAAACUGAAGAUAAAUUAGGUAUAAUGCUACUACAAUCAUGAAUAAAAACGUAUAUAGGUUGAGCAUUGAUGUUUUUAGUAUAUAACCUUUAUGGGCAGUUGUAUGAAACCCUAACUCGUUCCCUCAUAUAAUGUUGUCUGCGCAAUGUUCUAAGUAAGAGUUAGAUACCGAAAACGGAGGCUCUUAGUCAGAUCAUAGUUAAUGGAGGAGAUGGUUUGGAAACUCAUUAGCAUUACAAUAAACCUCACUAUCUAUGUUUUUGUUCAGGUUUAUGCAAAAAUGUGGUCCUUCAUCGUCACGUGUGUAUUGUAUUUUUGCUCAACCAACCAAUAGCAACGGUUUUGUCCAAUUGCCCAUCCAUGACUUUAACAAUAGGACAUUUUGAACAUUCCUAUUGGUUGACUUGAGAAAAAUACAAUACGCACGUGACGAUGAAAGACCACAUUUUUGCAUACUGCCUGAACAACAUAGAUAAUGAGGUUUAUUGUGAUUUUAUUGUAAUGCUAACGAGUUUCCAAACCAUCUUCUCUAUUAACUAUGGUCAGAUACAAACCCGAGGGGCCGUAGACCCCGAGGGAUUUAUCUGACUAAGAGCCGACGUUUGAGGUAUCUAACUAACUUAGUUCAUAUUUGUAAGGAUUGACCCACAAUGAAAUUUACUUUAUGAUAUGUAUUGUUCUUUAAAUGAGUUUGAAUUACCAUGGUUGUAAUAAAAACAAACAGGGCUAUUUUGAUAUGCAUCAAUUCUCGUGUCGCACUACUGUAUACUAUCAAUGAGAAGUGAUUAAAUAUUCGUUCACCAACCAAAAUUACGAUGAAAUAUGUUUGAAAUAGCUCAUACAACCGAGAAGAGCUAACGAAGAUUUGUACGGGUUUGUCGAAGCAGAGAUUCUCAAGUUGUUCUCAACAGGGUUUUAUUUGCAGGAUAAAAACCAAAUGGGAGGUCUUUCAUUGAAAUUCAAGACCGAGGCGUGCAGCACCGAGGCUUGAAUUUCAAUGAACGACCGACCAUUUUCUAUUGUCCUUGGGAGGUUGUGGGACGAAAUAAGGUUGAACAUGCGCAUUAAACACGCUUUAAUGUCGUUGAGCAUGCGUAGUAUAUCAUUUCGCGUCCCACAAGCGAAAGAGCAGAUAUUACUGUAUAAAUUCCUUGCACAAGCAAGUUUGAUGGUCGGUUCAGCUAGUCCUCGUGUACCGAAUGAUAAAUAUUCUACCCAAAGGUAGAGUUUGACGGGCUUUGAGGUACACGGCUGUUGUCUCUUUCUCGACUCAGAGACGUGCACCGUUUUCUAGUCGAAAAGGAGAUGUGGGGUUUGAGUUUGGUUAAAAAUUCAAGGUAUCUAACUCCAUAGUGACCUCCAAAAGGGGUCACUAUGGAGUUAGAUACCUUGCAUUUUUAAUUAGGCAUUCAAUUCUAUUCAUCAACCCCGCUUUUCCCUGUGGAGAUAUCAAAUCCCUCCCCUUGCUUUUAGAUUCUUACCCAAAUAAAACCCUAUUGAAACAAUAGAUAUCCGCACAAAUAUGAACUAAUUAAAAAAAAAAUGUUGAAAUGAUGGAUAAAGGUGAGGUUAUAUGGAAUCGUUAAAUACGAAGACUAAAUCCUGUGCAAUGCGUGCAAGACUUUUCCUGUACAAUGCGUAGAAGACUUUUCCUGUACAAUGUGCCAAUUAAUUCUGAAAUUUGUUUACCAGAAUUAUUAGUUGCUUUAUAAAUUAUUCAAGCAAAACCUAUCGUAUGAACCUGCAUGCGGAUAAUUUAUUUUUGCAUGCAUUCUACAUUGUGUUCUUACCUAAUAUUUCGUCAUUCGUUAACCAUUUAUUCUAGCCAAACUCUAAACUCUGUUUUCAGCAACAACAAAAAGGUGAAAUGCCAGGAAAUUACUGGGUCUACUUGCAUAUGAAUCUCCUUUCUGACUUUUAAUGUACUAAUAAAAACCUUUCGAAUUACAGUGCCGUCAAACAUGCAAAUAUAAUUCUACUGCUAUAUUUUUCUUUACAGGGUCAAUUCCACUUCGACAACUUGUGUAUCGUGUCCACCCUUUGCCCGAGAGUAUGAGACCCCUAGUGUGGGACUUUGGCCAACUUACGGAUCAUACAGAACAACUUUAUACUGCGCAAAUAGUUCGAAGAUUCAUGACAUCAUCAACGCCAGGU